rnacentral:misc_RNA from 1 species
GGACUGCUUCAUCAAUUCAUCUAUUUCAUGUCUAUCUACUUGCUGAUCUCGCACCAGCUCCUUGAUCCGCACACGAGCAUGAUCUAGUUCUUUCUUUAAUGCUUUCACGAGUGACAUGUUUGACGCAUGCUGCUCUUCCAGGCCCCAGAUUCUAUUCAGCACUUUUAGAAGUUCUGUAGAUGUUUUGAGGCUGUAGCCUGU